rnacentral:misc_RNA from 1 species
GAUGAAGAACGUAGCGAAAUGCGAUAAGUAAUGUGAAUUGCAGAAUUCCGUGAAUCAUCGAGUCUUUGAACGCACAUUGCGCCCCCUGGUAUUCCGGGGGGCAUGCCUGUCCGAGCGUCAUUGCCGCCCUCAAGCACGGCUUGUGUGUUGGGCCCCCGCCCCCCGGCUUCGGGGGGCGGGCCCGAAAGGCAGCGGCGGCACCGCGUCCGGUCCUCGAGCGUAUGGGGCUUCGUCACCCGCUCUGUAGGCCCGGCCGGCGCCCGCCGGCGACCCCAAUCAAUCUUUCCAGGUUGACCUCGGAUCAGGUAGGGAUACCCGCUGAACUUAAGCAUAUCAAUAAGCGGAGGA